CUAUACACACGUCCGUUGUUAUUAUUCCGUGUUAUAUAUUAUAUUAGUAUGUUAUUACAGUCCACUUAUUAUUAAUCUUUGAGAUAUUUGAGAGAGGCCUAAAAUCUUCAUAUGGGCCUUCGAACAACUUUGAACCAUAUUUAUAAAGCUUCUCAGGUAACUCAAGGAAUUUUUUCUUAUAUUAUUUUUAUAAUUGUGUGGUCCUUCGAGAAAACUCAUUGGAUAAUCUUCGUACUGUUUUACGAAACACACACGGUUUCGGCUCACCUCAUAGGUAUAUCCUGGCUGUGAAAUCCUUCUCCUAAAGAAUUCUUGCAUAAAAAUAGUGAGACACACCCAUAAUCUUUUGAGAAUAAUCAUCGGAAAAUCUUGUGGAGGAUUCGUGUUGUUUUACGAAAAGCACGCGGUUUCGGCUCACCUCAUAGUAAAAGUAUGGAGGAAGAGAAUAUCCAUUCAACUCCUAUCAUGCAGAAACUUAUCAAUAAUCCGGAAUUACCGGAAGAGAAGAUUGUGAUCCUUAAAGAACUCGAAUCCCUUCACUCAUUGUGGAAAGAGCAUUUCUUGGAAAAUAAUCCACAAGAAGAAAAAGAGAUAAGAGAGACCAAAAUCAAAGCAGAAAUUGCUCUAGCCAAGACUAAGAUAGCUCAGCGAUGGCGUACAGGAAAAAUCUUCACUCAAGAUUUACAAAUGGGGAAACAAUUUAUUCUUCAGUUACAACGUACUCUGAAGAAACUCCUCUUAAAGAAUAAUGAAGACAUCAGCGCUGAAGUCGAAGCUAGAUUGACUAAGAAGCUAAUCUCUAAAUAGGAGUCUUCUCUUUCAAGAAAAUUAGAAAACUUCGUUCCUGGAAGCAACAAUUCAGUGGUAUAAACCAUUAGAAGAUCCGCUAUCUCAAAAUUAUUUUGAAUUCAAUGAAGGAAUUGAUUCAUUAAUUUCCAAAAUUGAGUUUGAAAUAUCAAAAAGGCCGGGAAUGGAAAACAAAUUGCAACAAAAAUCAAUAGAAGAAAGCGCAAAUUCUACUGUAACAUUUAUCUCUCAUAAAAAGAGCAUUGUGCAAAUCAAUGUACGAAGCUUAAUCAAUAAGUUCAAAGGAGAUCCUGAAGACGAAAAUGUCCUUCUACAAUUUUCCAAUUGGAAAACUGCCUGGGAAAAUCUUGUUAUAGAUAUGAAAGAAAUGCCGGGUUUCGUGGAAGCCAUACUAUUCCAGAAAUUAAAGGAAUGUGUAGAAGAACCAGUGCUGUCAUUAGUGUCUGUGUUUGCAUCUUGCUCUCCGUCGGCAUACCGUGAGGCCAUGAAAUGCCUCACGGAAUCGUAUUAGUACCCAAUAAAACUGGCAAACUCAUACCUUUUAAAAUCAACAGAUCCUAAUCAAGAUGAAGCUACAAUGGCCAAUUCUAUCUUAAAAUCUUCCCAAGCCUUACAAGUACUAAAAGACGACCUCAUAAAUCAAAAAAUCGAUAUGUAUUAAUUCACACUUAUGCAUGCGUUCUUAGGGGCUAUGCCCUCUAAAAUGAAGGCAUAUUGGGAAGGUCAUAAAUACAAAUGUAAACAAGAUUAACUCCAUGAAUUCGAAAGAAAGAAUAAGUCGGAGGAAUGUAUGGAAGCUUGGACUGCAGGGAGAGUAGAAAAUCUUAGCUCUUUCAGUUCAUAGUUAAAGCUGUACAAAGUACGAAUUCUGAACUCAAAAGCGGCGGAUUCUCCAUCAACAGCGAAUAGUACAUUUAGUGUAUCAAUAAAAGCAAACACUUGUUUAUUAUGCAAUUAUGAUCAUUUAACAUCAAAAUGCCUAAAAGCCUUAGGGAUGUCUUUCCUAACACUGAAGGAAUUAUGUGUCUCUAAAGGCAUUUGCGUCCGAUGUCUGAAAACCUCAUUCAAAGAUCACUCAUGUUAAUUCAAUGUAGAUGGUGUCAAGAAUCGUUUUAUCAGUCCAACCAUUCUCCGUUGACAUGCCCUAAGAAUAAAUUUCGCACUAAUCCUUUGCAGCUUUGGUCAACGAAUAGGAAAAACAUCCCAUUUAAGGCCAUCUAAAGACAAGCAAUAAGUAAAGAAAAUGACUUUGCCAAAAUAGCCAAAAUAAUGGGAGAACAAAUAAGCCAAUCUAUUACAUCUAUGAUGAAUCCUAAAAGCACAAGAAAACCAAAUAAUAAAAACAAAUAGGUUGAUUGGAAAAAAGAGAAUAUGUUAAGAAAUACAAAAUGACAAGAUGUUAAGGAUAAUUUAAAUAACAACUUAACUAUAUGUAAAGAUAUAUAAUAAAUAAGAAAUAUAACAGCAAAAAAUUAUUAUAUUAAAGAUCUUGUGUUUAAUUCUUUUUCCUCUAAUCAAACUCAUAGUGUUAAUACUAUUAAAUAUAGAGGUAUAUCUGGUACAGUCUUAUGUUAUAUAAUUAAUCCAUACAAU
rnacentral:lncRNA from 1 species